GACGAACGCUGGCGGCGUGCUUAACACAUGCAAGUCGAACGGAAAGGCCCUGCUUUUGUGGGGUGCUCGAGUGGCGAACGGGUGAGUAACACGUGAGUAACCUGCCCUUGACCUUGGGAUAACUUCAGGAAACUGGGGCUAAUACCGGAUAGGAGCUCCUGCUGCAUGGUGGGGGUUGGAAAGUUUCGGCGGUUGGGGAUGGACUCGCGGCUUAUCAGCUUGUUGGUGGGGUAGUGGCUUACCAAGGCUUUGACGGGUAGCCGGCCUGCGAGGGUGACCGGCCACAUUGGGACUGAGAUACGGCCCAGACGGCUACGGGAGGCAGCAGUGGGGAAUAUUGCACAAUGGGCGGAAGCCGGAUGCAGCAACGCCGCGUGCGGGAUGACGGCCUUCGGGUUGUAAACCGCUUUCGCCUGUGACGAAGCGUGAGUGACGGUAAUGGGUAAAGAAGCACCGGCUAACUACGUG
rnacentral:rRNA from 1 species